UUCUAAUAUGGCAGAAUAGUGCAUUGGAUUUAAACCCCAAAAAUAAAGUUUAUCCUUUUUUUAGAA
rnacentral:tRNA from 1 species